AUGCACACAGUAAUUACUGCACACUCAUGGAGAAACCAAUUGUUGAGCACUGUACACUCACGGAUCCUUCCUUACACAAUCAUUCUUCAGCCUAUAAAUAGACCUUCAUCCCUCCUUGCAAUACACACACCGAAACCAGAAGAAGAAUGGCAGGAGGCAAGCUCAUCCUCCCACUGCCGUCUACACACACAGCCCAAGCCUUCCUCCAUCAUGCUUCUCUUCUUUCAUAACACCACUACAAGAGUCUUGAACAUCACACGGAAAACCAUCCCAAACCAUCCCAACUCCCGAAAACACCACAUGCAUCUCACCUCCAACAUCUUAUCCCAAUCCGAGCAGCAAAAGCACUCUCUCUUACUGAACUUAUGGAGACUUGCUCUCACACCAUAA
rnacentral:lncRNA from 1 species